rnacentral:SRP_RNA from 1 species
AUUUGGGCUAGAGGGGGAGUUGACGUGCUCUAUUUUUCACAAAUCGUUGAUAAUGGUGACUCGAAGUCCGAGGGCGGCGCAAACGAGCCUUUGGGAUUACACCAGCUGACUGCGAUGUCUCGCCCCCAAGAGAUCCAGGUUGGCGUUAGCGGAAUCCGGAGGGAUUCUGCAAGCGUCUCACGCCCGGGAACCAGGUCAGGCGCGGAAGCGAGCAGCCCGACCGGGGAUGCUGGAUGCCUUGGGACUUCGGGACGGAGAAGGCUGGUGCUGCACUCUCACUGAUGACGAGCGUCCACCGAGGACACGCCCACUA